AUUGAACGCUGGCGGCAAGCCUAACACAUGCAAGUCGAACGAGUGGCGGACGGGUGAGUAAUGUCUGGGAAACUGCCUGAUGGAGGGGGAUAACUACUGGAAACGGUAGCUAAUACCGCAUACCAUCGGAUGUGCCCAGAUGGUAUUAGCUAGGAGGUGGGGUAAAUGCUCACCUAGGCGACGAUCCCUAGCUGGUCUGAGAGGAUGACCAGCCACACUGGAACUGAGACACGGUCCAGACUCCUACGGGAGGCAGCAGUGGGGAAUAUGGCACAAUGGGCGCAAGCCUGAGACAGCCAUGCCGCGUGUAUGAAGAAGGCCUUCGGGUUGUAAAGUACUUUCAGCGAGGAGGCGUUACUCGCAGAAGAAGCACCGGCUAACUCCGUGCCAGCAGCCGCGGUAAUUC
rnacentral:rRNA from 1 species